GGGAUUGCCCCAGUAACGGCGAGUGAAGCGGCAACAGCUCAAAUUUGAAAUCUGGCCUCCUUCGGGGUCCGAGUUGUAAUUUGUAGAGGAUGCUUCGGGUGACGGUCCGGCCUAAGUCCCUUGGAACAGGGUGUCAUAGAGGGUGAGAAUCCCGUCUGCGGUCGGCGCCUGACCCCGUCAGAAGCUCCUUCGACGAGUCGAGUUGUUUGGGAAUGCAGCUCUAAAUGGGUGGUAAAUUUCAUCUAAAGCUAAAUACCGGCCGGAGACCGAUAGCGCACAAGUAGAGUGAUCGAAAGAUGAAAAGCACUUUGGAAAGAGAGUCAAACAGUAUGUGAAAUUGUUGAAAGGGAAGCGCCUGCGACCAGACCUGUCUGCGGGCGAUCACCUGUCGUUCUCGGCGGGGUACUCGUCCGUCAGCAGGCCAGCGUCGGUUUCGGCGGCCGGACAAAGGCCCCGGGAAUGUACCUACCCUCCGGGGAAGGCUUAUAGCCCGGGGUGCAAUGCGGCCAGCCGGGACCGAGGACCGCGCUUCGGCUAGGAUGCUGGCGUAAUGGUCGUAGGCGGCCCGUCUUGAAACACGGACCAAGGAGUCUAACAUCUAUGCGAGUGUUUGGGUGUCAAACCCAUACGCGCAAUGAAAGUGAACGGAGGUGGGAACCCUUCAGGGCGCACCAUCGACCGAUCCAGAUGUCUUCGGAUGGAUUUGAGUAUGAGCAUAAAUGUUGGGACCCGAAAGACAGUGAACUACACAUGGAUAGGGUGAAGCCAGAGGAAACUCUGGUGGAGGCUCGCAGCGGUUCUGACGUGCAAAUCGAUCGUCAAAUCAGUGUGUAGGGGCGAAAGACUAAUCGAACUGUCUGGUAGCUGGUUUCGGCCGAAGUUUCCCUCAGGAUAGCAGUAACGUUUUCAGUUUUAUGAGGUAAAGCGAAUGAUUAGAGGCCUUGGGGGCGUAACGCCCUUAACCUAUUCUCAAACUUUAAAUAUGUAAGAAGUCCUUGUUGCUUGGUUGAACGUGGACAUUUGAAUGUACCGUUACUAGUGGGCCAUUUUUGGUAAGCAGAACUGGCGAUGCGGGAUGAACCGAACGCGAGGUUAAGGUGCCGGAAUGCACGCUCAUCAGACACCACGGAAAAGGGUAGAGCGGGGUUGCAUUGGAAUUGUGAAUGUGGUGUCAAAUGGGGACGAAGAGUCUCGUGUCAGUCCUGAACAGGGCCAGGUCUUUCAUCUGCGGAGCCGGCUGGCCAUCAACAUGGUCGGGCAAUCCGCUGCUGCUUCUCUUGAAGCUGCCCACAGAUUAAGUGGAGACCGGCUGCAGCAUCUGUUGCGGCUCAAGAUAUAAUCGGCCAGGGAAGUAUCGUUCUCUGAUCUCGCGCAAAAAGUGUUAGUUCAUCUAGACAGCCGGACGGUGGCCAUGGAAGUCGGAACCCGCUAAGGAGUGUGUAACAACCCACCGGCCGAAUGAACUAGCCUUGAAAAUGGAUGGCGCUCAAGCGUGCUACCCAUACCUCGCCGCCAGGGUAGAAACGAUGCCCUGGCGAGUAGGCCGACGUGGAGGUCCGUGACGAAGC
rnacentral:rRNA from 1 species